GGCACGGUGGUGCAGUGGUUAGCACGGUCAGCUCACAGCAAGAAGGUCAUGGGCUCAAAUCCAGCCCCCUGUGUGG